rnacentral:rRNA from 1 species
CGGAACGACNUUNACAAUCCUUCGGGUGCGUUAAUGGGCGUCGAGCGGCGGACGGGUGAGUAAUGCCUAGGAAAUUGCCUUGAUGUGGGGGAUAACCAUUGGAAACGAUGGCUAAUACCGCAUGAUGCCUACGGGCCAAAGAGGGGGACCUUCGGGCCUCUCGCGUCAAGAUAUGCCUAGGUGGGAUUAGCUAGUUGGUGAGGUAAUGGCUCACCAAGGCGACGAUCCCUAGCUGGUCUGAGAGGAUGAUCAGCCACACUGGAACUGAGACACGGUCCAGACUCCUACGGGAGGCAGCAGUGGGGAAUAUUGCACAAUGGGCGCAAGCCUGAUGCAGCCAUGCCGCGUGUAUGAAGAAGGCCUUCGGGUUGUAAAGUACUUUCAGUUGUGAGGAAGGGGGUGUUGUUAAUAGCAACAUCUCUUGACGUUAGCAACAGAAGAAGCACCGGCUAACUCCGUGCCAGCAGCCGCGGUAAUACGGAGGGUGCGAGCGUUAAUCGGAAUUACUGGGCGUAAAGCGCAUGCAGGUGGUUCAUUAAGUCAGAUGUGAAAGCCCGGGGCUCAACCUCGGAACUGCAUUUGAAACUGGUGAACUAGAGUACUGUAGAGGGGGGUAGAAUUUCNNNUGUAGCGGUGAAAUGCGUAGAGAUCUGA